AUGGGAACUGUGAAUGAGAAUCAGGCUCUAAAAUUUGCAUAAAGUCUUUACUAACUAAACCAUCUACCUAGUCCUUUAAGUUUAAGCUUCUUCUUCUUUUCAUUUAUUUAUUUUAUUGAGUGUAUUGUCACUGUCUUCAGACACACCAGAAGAAGGCAUCAGAUCCUAUUACAGAUGGUUGUGAACCACCAUGUGGUUGCUGGGAAUUGAACUCAGGACUUCUGGAAGAGCAAGCAGUGCUCUUAACCGCUAGGCCAUCUCUCCAGCCCAGGUUUAAGCUUCUUAACGUUAGUAAACACACAUUGAAUUCUAAAAGAAUGCCUUUAACAUUCAAAAUGAGAAAAUGGCAUUUCCUCAUCUUCAGAAAGCAAAGAACUUCGCUGACCAGAAGAGAGGCUACCACUCUUUGGAUGGAUGGGUAAGUCUCCUUCUCUACCUGGGGUGGAAGUUUUAGAAGUUUUAGGGUUUUAGAAGUUGCUUGAUCUUUUCUGACCUUUUAGGUCAAUUGCUAGUGUGAUGUUUGGACUCACCCAUUUUGCCUCCUCUACUGGAGAGUGCCGCUAGCCCAUUUGUAAACAAGUACUGUGAAACCUUCAUUUGAGAAUAUUCCUUUUGAAUAUUUUGCUGCAAGCUUCUCUAUUCAAUCAUUAUCCUGUAUAGAUGUUUUAAUUUGUUUUUUGACAUAAUACUUGCACAUAUUUUUAAGGGACAACCUAAUGUUUGAAUUUCGGUUUUUACUGAAGAAAGGCUGACUCACGGGACACCCACCAUCUUAAAUCUUUAUCCUUUGUUUAUGAAGAAUUUCUUUCAAAAUUGUUUAAAAUUAUUUUUGUGGUAUCUAAUACAGUUAAUUUCUUAUGCUCUACUGUGGCAUAGAGCUCCAGAAUUGUUCUCUCCCAACUAAUUAUUGACCAUAUCUGUCUUCAUUCUACAUUGCACAUCUUCUAGUAAUUGCUCCUAUUUUCUUGAUUACUAUGACAUCAACAUUGUUAGUAUCCAUGUGCACGAGACUUUUAAAUAGUUGCCUUUCUUUGUCUACAUUGCCUUACAUUGGAGUUAAUAUUCAGCCAUUAUACAUGAUCAUAUCCAUUAGUAAAAUACAGACACAAUACCACAUCCAUGAUAAAUGGAAGCUACCUUGAUCCCUACCUCAUAUCUGUGUGUGUGUGUGUGUGUGUGUGUGUGUGUGUGUGUGUGUGUGU
ensembl:lncRNA